rnacentral:lncRNA from 1 species
CCUGGGACUUGCAUUGGUAAUAGCCUCCUGAAGUUGGUGACCUGGUCACGUUUUUUCUUCUUUUGCUGUACCUUUUCCGUGAGAUCUUGCCAUAAGUAACAUGAUAAAAAAGUGUUUUCUAGUUUCACAAUGUGCUUAGUUCACAAGUUUCCUGUAUAACUUUGUUGGUGUUCCAAACAAAAAUAUGUUGAUUUUCUUGGAACCUGUGAGAUGAUAGCCUACUAGGGAGUUACUACAAACUAACUAACGUGGAAUUUAGCCUGAGUUUUGCAAAGCUGUGCGUUACUUAUUGCCCAUAUGUUGGAUGUAUUUACUGGUUAGCUUGUGGUAUUGAUACGAGGAAAACCUGCUGCACCAGUAAAUAAUACUUUGUACGAGUCUUUUGCAUUGACCUGUUGGCUCUUUUUUGAAAUCGACAAUAUUGAAACUUAAGAUUCUCCAUGCUUUGUUAUGCCUUUGCUUAUAUUGCUUUUUUCUUGAAAUUAUAGAGCUUUUUUGUAAUAAUGUGCACUCUCAUUUAUAAUCCAUGUGCAUCAGUUAGCCUUGGUUGUAUCUGAAACUCUGUUUUCCAAGCAGAGUGAAGGUUCAGCUGUCUGGAUUCCGGCCCCUGGACGGGAUAUUUCUGCUCUUCAGGCUAGCUCCUUCUACAACAUUCCUUCUCAGGGACAACAUAUGACUUUUGCACCCACACAAGCUGGCCAUGGUGCCUUCAGCGGAGUCUACCCUCCGACGCCAACUGUCUCAGCUCCUGUUCAUCCAUUGCUCCAGCAGUCCCAGACUCUCGCUGGAGCUGUCGAAAUGUUGGGGCCCUCUGGUGGUGUUUAUCAACAGCCACAACGUGCACAGAUGAAUUGGACCAAUAACUAUUGAAGGAAACCAAACCUAAGUUAUGGCAGCCGCAGCUCAGUGAUCAAGGAUACUUGGGGUUCCGAUCAGAAGAUGUUGCGAAUGUGGCGUAGAGUUGCCUGAUCGGAAAGACUGGAUGUAUAUCUAUAUCUAAAAGACGGCCGUCCUGAAUGAGAAGGUUUCAGAAUUUGGAAUUGAUAGACUUUAAUAGUUCAAGCUGAUGUUGACCAUUUUCAUGUCAAUUGUCCAGUCCGCUCAAAUUCCACGUCCUGGGUUGUCUGCUACUCAUUCUUUGUCAUUUGCUUGUUUCUUUUCGAUGGAUGAAAAUUUGACAUCCAUUUGCGCCGCCACCACCACCACCACCACUACUGAUGAGGUGAUAGAAAGACCUUAGAAGGUAAGAAUUUACCCUAGUGGGUUGUCAUUUCUCCACUGCCUUUGUCUGUAAAGUAAAAAUUGAUACUGAGAAACUGUAGCACAACAGUUGUAUUUGGUGUAAUCGAGAUAGCAGCCGCACAUCCUCUUUGUUACAUGUCGUGUUCUCCUUUCAGCUCACCAGUGUUUGGGAGAAACUAAAGAUGGAUUCAUGCGGGCUCAUAUCCUCGUCUUUGUAAUUCAAUAGAAUAUGAGACAUGCCACAAUUCCAGGUUUGUUUCUGGCAAAGCAUCAACCAAGUGUUCUUAUCCUUUUUCUGGUAAUAUGAUCAUUAUUUUUUAUUCUUUUUCUGGCAAUAUGAUCAUUAUUGUCAAUUAAUUGGAGUUCAACAUUGAAUGGUUAGUCGGGACAUGUGUCAAAUGGAUAUGUCAUGUCAACACAAUAUUGAAGGAGCAUAUUUCGUCAUAAACAUUUAUCAUUUGCAUUCUAUGCUGGUUGUUCACGGUGAACUUCUGAUAUAGUCUCUUAUUUAGGGUCUAAACUUUCUAAAAUAAGACGAAACACUUGGUUCUUCUUAGAAAGGGAAAUAAGAUCGAGCAUACGAAUUACCCUUAUUUGAUUCUUUUUAUUCUAAUAAUUUGAUCGUCAACGCACUUGAAGCUUCUUAUCAUUAAAGGAAAAUAAGAUGGAACACAUGAACUCGUUAUAUGUGCUCUUUGUUUACAAUAAAUAAAUUUUAAUUUUUGUUUACAACAAAUGAAUUUUAAUUUGAUGGCUAGAGGGAUCUUGUCGGAACGUUGUUCUUGCAAAAAUGAACCAAGUGGGAUAAAAACUUUUUGACCCAAAAAAUUGUAUUCUUUUCCUCGUCAACUUUUCCAUGUUGUAGAUGAUUGCCUCCCCAGCAUUCGACAGAGGAUGGAGUUGUAGUUCCAGUCCUGAAUCACCCGCGACGCCUAUCCCGGGUGACCUGGACUGUCACAGGGAGCGGUGCGUGAGGGAGAUGUCACCCAGGAAAUGGUUUCUCGGGUGGCGGUUUGAACGAGAGACGACGUGCGAAGCUUGUGGGGUACCGAACCAUCACUCAACUUGGAUGAGCGACAUAAGUAGGCGCGCUGUUGGUUGCUUCUCGUUGGCCGUGACGCCCAAUCUUAUGAUGCAUAUACGGCCAUGGCAUCGCAACCUUAGCCCUAUCGUUUCUUUCACCGCUCCAUGGAGAUUCGCAGCGUCGAAGACGAGCAGCAGCCGUCGGCCGUCACCACAAAGGGAGGGCCCCCCAACGCCGCACUGCAUCAAGGGAACGAUGGCGUCGUUGAGAUCGAGAUUGAACAGGAUGAUUCGGGCACUUGUGGCUAUGGCCCUCUUCCUAUAUUUCUCAAGGUACCUCUCCCCAGCCUGCAAUAACGUGUUAUCGAUCCUCCAAAGCAGGUCAUUUCGCUGUAAUAUUUACAAUUUUUGCCUGAGAUAGGACAACAUCAUAGCAGUGAGACAUUUUUCGUUAAUAUGUCUUAUGAACUAUCCUGCAUUUAAGCUAAAUGUUCCCUUGCAACCUUUGCUUUUUUGUAGCACAUGCACACACAUGCAGAUAUAUUCUUAUAAAGUUAAUGAUUUCCAUAUUUAUUGCUUUAAAUUUACUUAACAUUAGGUGACAUCCCGGUUUAGUCUCAUGUCGAAAGUCAGACGAAGUUUGAGUUAGUCUACAAAAUUAGAUGUCUUUCACUGCUAACUUGGCUGGUGUAUUGGGACGUAGAUUAUCAUAGCGUGAGGGGUCUAAGUAGAUAAGAGCUACUUCUUCACAGCUUGAAGUAAUUGUGACUUGUAACAUCUUACUUUAGUUCUACAUUGACAGUCGAGGAGAUUUGAGUUGACAUAUGAUGAUUCAAGUUUAUCAGGUUAAUAGGUUAAUUAUUAUGUCAGGUUAGAUUGUGACAAUAUCCCUUAAAGCUUGAGCUAACCUAAAAGCUUAGGCAUCUGCCAUUGUUGUUAAACUUUCAUUGAAUGCCGUAUAAUUACUAGUUGAAACUCUAAUUUACAUUAACAAUAAAAAAAACACUAUAAUACUAAAAGUAUCGAGGUACCUUAUAUAUAUAUAUAUGUAUAUAUAUAUAUAUGUAUAUAUAUAUAUAUAUGUAUAUAUAUAUAUGUAUAUAUAUGUAUGUAUAUAUAUAUAUGUAUAUAUAUAUANNNNNNNNNNNNNNNNNNNNAUAUAUAUGUAUAUAUAUAUAUAUGUAUAUAUAUAUAUAUAUGUAUAUAUAUAUAUGUAUAUAUAUGUAUGUAUAUAUAUAUAUGUAUAUAUAUAUAUAUACAUAUGUAUAUAUACAUAUAUAUAUGUAUAUAUACAUAUAUAUAUAUGUAUAUAUAUAUAUAUAUAUACACACACAUUCCAAUUCAAAUGAAUUAAUACUAAAUUGUUAACCUAGUUCUUCUGCAUGGAUGUUAACAUUGGUGAUUUUUGUGGAGGGUUUUAAUAUUUUGAGGAUAUAAAUAUUUAUCCUGUAUGCUGAAAUUUAUAAUGGCAAAUAUGACAUUUCGAAAGUCACCAUUCUAUAACAAGUAAGUGAUCAUGGUUGGGGAAAUCCAAAACUGAUUGUGGAAGGGUGUCAGAUAUGGACCACAGUUGACAGGUUCAUCAUGUGAAAUAUGUUCCUCCUGCUUGCUUUUUGUCUGCUGCAGUUUGAGGAUGUGGAGUAUAAAAUUAAUGGGAGUUCAAGGAACCCUGUGAAAGCUACAAUUGCCGGUGUAGCCUCCUGGCUGAGGAUGGAGCAAGGAAACUGCAAGCACAUACUGAAAGGCAUAACUGGAAGUGUUGGCCCUGGUCAAAUCCUUGCUAUGAUGGGGCCUUCAGGAAGUGGCAAGACCACCCUGCUAAAAUUACUUGGUGGUAGGUUGGAUGGGGACAUCAGAGGGAAGGUUACUUACAAUGACACUCCUUAUGGCCCCUCUCUCAAGAGGAGGUGAACAACUGCUCUUUCUACAUGUUUCAAUUCUUUUGUUAUUGAAUUACAUUGAUUAAGAGUUGGAAUUUCCCUUGUUUCGAUGUGUACAUCAGUAGGAUUGUCCACUUUAUGAUUUCAUUUUACCAAAUGCUGAUCUUGUUGCAAUUGCUUGACAGGAUUGGAUUUGUUGCACAGGAUGAUGUGCUGUUUCCUCAACUUACAGUGGAGGAAACCCUUGUCUUUGCAGCAUUCUUGAGGCUUCCCACAGAGAUGAGUCGCAAGGACAAGUACUUGAGGGCGGAUAGGAUCAUAAAAGAGCUAAGUUUAGAGAGGUCAGUAUCAGUGUUUGCUAUGGUCACAUAUAUGUGCAAGCAGCCCAUAUGAAUUAUAUGUUCCUAUUGGUUAGAACAAUCUUGUUAAUUUUGAAUCAGGUUCUGCUCUAACUUGAGACUUUGUAAGUGAACUUUUUCCCCUACAUUUUUGUAGUUUAAAUGCUUGUGGAUUUGCUUGGGUGUCUCUUUGCAUGUGAAGCAUGUGUGUGCUUAAUCAUUUGGUUAAGCUAGUUUUAGUAAGUUUGAGGGAGAUUUCAAUGUACUGUAUUUGACCUCGGCUAAAUCUAUAACGAAGUGUUGGUUGUACUUGCAAAAUCGGAAUCGACUUAGAUCAUUAGCUUGUGUUGGUGGUAAUUUGUCAUAUUAAUACUCUAUCCCCACCUCUGCAAAUGAAACCAUGUAGCCGGUGCUCCAAGUAUAAUAUUAGUCUCAACUUUUAGAUUCAUUCUUUAGUUUUGACAUGCAAAUUAUUCUUUCUGAUUAUUUUGGUUUUAUUCACAAAACAAUGUAUACAUUCAUGAUAAUCUAUAUUUAUUAGCGGAAAUGUCUUUUUCAAGUUUCUAGAUAGAUUUUCCAAGAUAUUGAUGCUUCCACUACUACCUUGAUACACUAAAUCUCAUUAGGAUCAUGUGAUCAUGGUCCAUGCUAUUGAAAUGUUUGGCCCUCAUUUCUUGUCAUCAAAAUGAUUUGAUUCUAUUUAUACUAGAUAUAUAAGGUGAUUAGAAAAAAGGUUAAAUAAGUUAAAAAACUGUUUUGAUGCACUCAUUAUUUAUCUCUGUGAAUUAGAUGCCGACACACCAGAGUGGGUGGUGUUCUUGUGAAAGGCAUUUCAGGAGGAGAAAGAAAAAGGACCAGUAUAGGUUAUGAGAUCCUGGUCGAUCCUUCAUUGUUGUUUCUUGAUGAACCCACUUCAGGCCUGGAUUCCACCUCUGCAAGCAAGCUCCUUAUAAUUCUUGGAAACCUGGCAAAGGUGAUAAAGUCAACUGAUUCUCAUAACUGUCUUUCUGAGGAAAGCUUAUAUGAACUGUUUUCGCUAAUAUCAGUUAAUUAAUUACGGGGAGAGUAAUAUGUUGUUUCACUUCUGGAAAAAUGCUUAUUAUACACGGAAAAAUCAGACAUCUGUGGAGAAAAUAACACCUGAAGAAUCUGCAAAAAAUGUAUGUUUGAGGGUUUUUUUCCCUCCAAUUUCAGGUAGGGCGAACAGUUAUCAUGACCAUCCAUCAGCCAUCUAGCAGGAUAUUCUACAUGUUUGAUAAGCUUUUGUUGAUAUCUGAGGGUCAAACCAUAUACCAUGGUAAUGCCAGGGAGUCCAUGCAUUAUUUCUCGUCCCUGGGUUUUGUGCCUGAGAUGGCCAUGAGUCCUGCAGAGUUCCUGCUAGAUAUAGCGACCGGACAUGUCAAAGACAUCAGCAUCCCUGAAACUUUGCAAGGUUCAACAAAUAUGCAGGAGAUCGAGGUGAAAGUAAUUAAGGUGAAAAAGAAUCUCAAGAAAUCUAUUAAACCAUUGUGUUCUCUCAUUGCUCUUUAACUAAGAUACUUGUAGUUUAGUCAAGAGCAAGUUCAUUUUGCAAGAACUUGCAGAAAGCUCAAUGUUCUGUUUCUUUUUUCUAAGAAAAAAUUAUUAUGCCAGUUUAAAAGUGAGCAUUUUGAUUUCUACUGCAAGUUAUCUCUCAUUCCAACACCAUAUUUAUUUGUUUCCUUCAUUGCCUCUUACAGUUUCUGCAAUGCAAAUAUAAGACAGAUUUGGAACCUAGAGAAAAAGAAGGGAACUAUCAUUCAGUAAAAGCACCCAUGAAGCUUCAACUAUCAAUUCAAAUUAAAAAGGAUUGGACUUCGAAUUGGGUGGAGCAGUUCAUUAUUCUAUCAAAGAGGACAUUUAGGGAGAGAAGCAGAGAUUACUUAGACAAGCUAAGAUUUUCACAAACAGUUGGAGUGGCUGUUUUAUUAGGCCUUCUAUGGUGGAAAUCUAAUAUAGGAACUGAAGCUCAAUUAAGAGAUCAGGUGGUUAACAAAACACAGACAGUUCAACUUCUGCUGUAAGAUGUAUAAAUAUUAUUUGCAGCACAACAUUAUUAUCACAAAUGUUGGCGGAGUAAUUUAAAAUAUCUUUUGACCCCUCUAUUCCAUUUGAGUCUUAAGCAUUUUCUUCCAUGAUGCAGGUUGGCCUAAUGUUCUAUAUCUGUAUAUUCUGGACAUCAUCAUCAUUAAUUGGAGCAGUAUAUGUCUUCCCUUUCGAAAAGUCCUACUUGGUGAAAGAAAGAAAAGCUGAUAUGUAUAGAUUUAGUGUUUAUUAUGUGAGUAGCACUCUCUGUGACAUGAUCAUCAAUAUUGCGUAUCCCAUCAUUUUUAUGGUCAUCCUGUACUUCAUGGUUGACCUCAGAAGAACGACGCCUUGUUUUCUCUUGACGUCCUUUGCAAUUAUGUUGAUCGUCAUCACGAGCCAGGUAAUUUAAGAUCAUGAAGCCAUUUAUUUUGGUAUAAGGCAGUAUGUUUAUAAUUUACUUAUUUAGACAAAUGAAAACAAACAUCUUGUGCUAGCACUUGUAGAUGAAGUGUUCAAAAAGAAGAAAAAAAAGACUUGGGUACCAAAAAGUUAUAUUUCAUUACUUCAACCACCCAACUUGAGAUCUAAGACAUAUAUUUCAUAAUAGAACUUGAUGUGAAUUUGGAUAUUUUAAGGUCACCAUCUUUCAAAAUUCACAAGUAAGAAUUUUGCUAUAUUAUGGUAGAUUCUUACGUUGGUUCUUCAGCAGGAAAUUUCUGGAGAAAAAUACCUGAAUAACUUCUCUUUCUAUAUUUAUUUUUCUUUUUCUUUCCAGUAAUUCUUAACAUUUCCAACAUUCACAAAUCUGUCUAAUUCCAGGGAAUGGGGGAGUUAAUUGGUGCAGCAAUGUUAAGUGUCAAACGAGCUGGGUUGAUGGCAUCAUUGGUUCUAAUGUUGGUUCUCCUCACUGGUGGAUAUUAUGUGCAGGUAUCUAUGUCAGUUACUAGAGGGCUAAUCAAGAUCCGAAGAAAGUUGAUAUGGCUGAAACUCAAAGUGAUUAUUUAUUUGAGGAUUAAAGAAAAACUCAAUCUGAUUUAUGUUUUUAAUAAAUUAUCUAUCGUAUCAACUUCUGAAACAUUAGCAAAUUCACAACUUCUCUCGAGGAGCUUCCUAGCGAUGAUAACAACUGAAUUUGCUUGUCUUGCAGCAUAUUCCCAAGUUCAUGAUAUGGCUGAAGCACAUAUCAUUCAUUCACUAUGGCUUUAGACUCGUGCUGAAAGCACAAUACUCACAACACAUAGUGUAUGAUUGCCAAAGUAAAGGUGGAUGUAAACACUUACAGAGCUCACCAACAUUUGAUACUAUAGACUUGAGCAGCCGAUUACAGGAAGUCUGGAUUCUCUUGGCCAUGGCUCUUUCUUUCCGAAUACUUGCUUAUUUUGCUCUCCAGAGAAGAAUAAACAUGACUCCUUUUUAAGUUUGGAGUUUUGUAAAAGAGUGCAAUGCUCGCAAUUCUUGGUGUAUGACCACCAAAAUAAAUGUGGACGUAAACACUUAUGGAGCUCACCAAUGUUUGAUACUAUAGAGUUAAGUGGCCGAUUACAAUAAGUCUGGAUUCUCUUUGCCAAGGCUCUUACUGACUGAUCGCUUGCUUAUUUCACUCUUCAACGAAGAAUAAACAUUACUCUUCUUUGAUUUUGGUCUUGAUAAAAGCACAAUACUCUUGAUACUUGGUGUAUGAUUGCCAAAAGAAAGGCUGAUGUAAAAGCUUACAGGUGCUCACCAACAUCUGAUACUAUCGACUUGAGCAGCUGAUCACAAAAAUCCUUGGCCAGGAUACUUGUUGAUUGCUUACUUAUUGUGCUCUUCAGUGGAGAAUAAACAUUUCUCCUGUUUGAUUUCAGACACACACUUAAUCUGAUUGAUUGGUGUAUGAUUGCUAAAGUCAAGGCGGCUGUAAACACUUGGAAAGCUCACCAACAUUUAAUACUAUGGAGUUGAGCAGCCUGACUACAAGAAAUCUGGAAUCUCUCAGCCACAACUCUUAUUGAUUGCUUUCUUAUUUCCAUCCUUCAACGAAGUACAAAAGUUACUAAUUGAUUUCAGACUCUUCAUCUCAUUACCUGGUGAAUUGAUUGCCAAUGUAAAGGUUAAUGUAGACACUUCAUCUUUUUCUGGUAAUUCUCCAUACAUACGUUUUGUCCUGCAAAUUGAAAGAAUUUGUUGGGAAUCCUAUGAAAUUUGUGCACCUGAUUUGAUCAAGAAAACCUAACAAAAUUAGUUGGAAAUCGGGAAAAAAAUCCGGAAGUAUUUUGGAUCUUUAAUUGCCCAAAUUGACAUAUUAUUAAGCAACUAAGUUAACCCAAUAUGGAUUAGUCAUUAAUCAAAUAUACACAUCAAACAAACACUUCCAUUCUCCUACUUAGUAUUGAAAUAUUUGGCGAUCUUUCACUCCUCCCAUCACGCUUUCGUCUCCUCUAAACUUACUGGUAACCAGCGGCGACGAGCUGCUUCGCUGAAACCGGCUACCGCCGGUAGUCGGAAGUCUACGGUGGGACGCAAACGGCCGUAACGGACACCUGACGACCGGGUACCGCCCGUAAACACUGAGGCCGGGGCUCACUUAUAAAGCCCCCCUGGCGUUGGGUUAUCGGCUCUCCGCCGCGGUGUCUUCGCUUGAUGCUUUCUCCCGUUCGCAGGGCGAAAUCCUCCGGUGAACGAGCUCAAGAUCGGCGAGUCCCGCUUUCGGAUCUCUUCUGUAAAGGGUUCCCCUUCUCCCCCACCAAGAUCUCGAGUCCUCUCUGCCGGGUGAGUUCUUGCUUGGAUCUCAGGUGUCGAUCGCCCCAUGAACACGAUCUGGUUGGCUUCUUGUAGGUUGAGUUCGGAAUUGUGGUUUGAAUCCUCUGCGUGUUCGGGGUUGGGAGAUCUCGCAUUCUUGAUGAAUACGUUGAUCUGCCGACGGAAUCUUGGUUCUUGAUUUCGUAAGGGUUUCAGAAUAUCGGUUUGUUGGUUCUUGGUUGGAUCCCUUCCAGAUCUGAUCGCAGAUCAUUCUCGCCGGAAUUUGGCUUUUGAUGAGAUUCUUGUAGCUGUGAUUUCUCGAAUUGAAGUUCUUGGGGAAAUGAGGGGCUUGAGAUCGAAGUGUAAAGUUGUUGUUCUUGUACUUCUCUUUGUAUGGGUGGCUAUCACGGGGCUAUAUGAACUGUUGAAACCAGUCCCGAGUGGCUGCAUCAUGACAUACAUGUAUCCGAUGUAUAUCCCUAUCCCCACGCCCGCUAAUGUCUCGUCGGACAAGUACGGGCUGUUCUUGUACCAUGAGGGAUGGAAGAAAAUUGAUUUCGAUGAGCAUCUGAAGAAAAUUAAUGGCGUCCCUGUUCUUUUCAUACCUGGAAAUGGUGGCAGCUACAAGCAGGCGAGCCUUUUUAAUCUUUUACCCUUUUCAUUGUUCAAAGUAUAAAAUUUUCACUUUCUCCAAGUAUCUUAGUUACAAUAUGUUAUUUAAAAAUGUUUAUCUUUUGUAUUAUACCAGUUAUUUCUCUAGCUCUGUAGUAAAAAAAAAAAACACUUCUUGUUCAUGUACAUUCAAGUUAAUGAUGCAAAUUUGUGUUCAAGACUUGAUGCAUAUUUUAUAGCAGCAAGGAAUUUUGCUGCCAAAUCUGGUCUGAUAUUUGAGUAGUUUGACUGGAAAUAGACUUCACCAAUGAAAUUGUUGGUCUUUUAAAUUAAUCACGAUGCUUGUCAUUCCUUGAAAAGUCAAACUGACCUGACACAGUCUGCAUCCAACAUUUGGGAAAACCAAGAAAAUAUGGGGAAAAGAUAGGAUUUUGAUAAUGUUUUUAUUUCCAUGGUACGGGAAGAGAAUAGGGAUGGGUGUCAGUUUCAACCGUACCUUCUUAAUAUAGGCUUCUGAUCUUCCUUCUAGUGAAUCAGAUAAAGAUUUCCAUUAUGUUCGCUGAAUUGCAUUUUGAAUUCACUGGAAUGCCUAAGCUGUUAUAGAAUUAUGCAAAAGAUCGGAGACUUUAAAAUACCAACUCCAUAUAUCAGUUAAUCUGUAUGCAUUAUUUUUCCUGUUCAAACAAACUUGUAAUCAGAACUACUGUCAUUUUCAACUAAAGCGAAAAUGGCUAAGUUGACUAAUAGUAACUUUAUAUUUACUGUGAAGUAUGGUAUCAAUGGAAGACCACUAAAGGGAAAAAAUAGUUAAAAGUGAAACAACACAUAGAAAAUAUGUUUAUAGUUUGAAGGUACAAAGAUUUUGUUCACAAUCUUGAAGGUACAUAAAAUAAAGUUGUAGACAUAAAUGCUUCAUCACAUAGCCAUUUAUGGUUCUGAAUACAUGCCAAAUUGUCAUUUUCAUUAAACUUCUUAAUUUGAUGUGCAAAAUAACUCAAAAGUCCUCCUCUGAAAAGUCAUUAAACUUCUUAAAAAAUGAAUGCUUCAUCCAUAAAAAAAAUUAUAAUUAGGUAAUUAAAGGAUCUUUUUGUGAUGGUUGCUGAACUGAUGUCAAUUCCAGAUAUAGUGCAGACUGCAGAGUUAAUUUUCAAAAAAUGAAGCAGGCAAAUUGGAGUUGUAGGUAGUAUUUACUUUUUUGAACAAUUUUUUCUGAAGCUAUUAUCACAUAGCCAUUUAUGGUUCUGAAUACAUGCCAAAUUGUCAUUUUCAUUAAACUUCUUAAUUUGAUGUGCAAAAUAACUCAAAAGUCCUCCUCUGAAAAGUCUUCAUAUCUAUUAUGCACCCUGCAUAUGUGCUACGUGGUACUUUAAUAUCUGCAUAUCGCGCUUAUUCGAACAUUGCCUGGGUCAUUUGAACAUGCUCUAGUGAUGUCUAGUGAUGCUCCAAGCCCUAAGAUAUAGUGUAAGGUUGAACUUGGUUUGAUGGCUUGUUGAAAAGGCAACUCAGGUAAAUUGAUCCUCUUUUGUACCAUGGUAGAUGAGCCAUACAUUGUGCAUUUGUUUCAGGAAUUUUGUUGUAAUAUAAACUCCACAAUCUCUUCAUCAUACUCUUUCAUGAUUUUUGUAUCGCUGACUUCAAUUUGCCAUUAUCUUGACAACCUCAAGGCAACCUUCUUCUUUGUAUCUUUGGACCCAGCAAUGGCUCUUAUUUUAAAUAUUUAUAAGUAUCUCGCCUGAAUGAUUACCUGAAUUCUGAGUUAUCAUGUAUCUUUUUUUGAUCCUUGAUUAUGGAAGAACUAGGGUAUUAUACCUUUAAAGAGGUUAUGAGCUUCUGAAACUGCUGGUAUCUGUGGCUAAACUUUGGAUCCACGGGGUCCAUUUAGUUGUUAUAAUCUGCAGUUUCAAAUUCAAUCAUAUGUUCCUAGUUUCAACUAUUGUCACAGAAAAAUUUGUCUAUACCUAGCUCUGUGCUGUAAAUGUUGUUGUCAUGACUUGAUGUUGUAUGAUUUGGCAAGCAACAUCAGUGGUUAAUUGAUUUCAUGGCAACUGAAGUUAUAUGAGCUUAACGUACAGCCACAGGGACAUAUUCUUAUCGCUAGCAGGCUUGGUUUAAUUGAAACCUGGAAGUACUCUCUUCUCUUAAUUUGCUUCCAUUUUCUGAAGGAUUUUUAUCCAGCUUGAUAAAUGAGUGUUGGUGCACUUUAGGAUUGAGUUAAAUCAAGUACUUAAAUUUGUGUCUUAGGAAAUGCACAUCUUUUUAUUUUAUGUUAGUCCAUUAUGAUUUUCAUUACAAAAACUUGGGGCUUCCUUAAGCCAGUUAGCAUGGUAGCUUCUUCCUCCAUUGAAUCUAAACAUUAUGUUAUGUCUCUGACGUCCCAAUGUUCUGAUUUAUGCUCUUUUAAGCCUGCUUAAAGCUUGAUUUGAAUGUGGUGUUGUAAAUAACAUCUGUCUUGUUUAUCUUUUCAUCUGCACUUUGUCUUUCUAGGUCCGGUCUUUGGCUGCCGAAUCUGAACGGGCUUACCAAGGAGGACCACUUGAACUAACUUUCUACCAGGAAGCAUCUGUUGUACCGGAAAAGACAAAAACUAAGUCGGAGGAUCUGGAUAACUUUGUGCUUCCCACCCAAUAUAAUCAUAAGCUUGACUGGUUUGCUGUGGAUCUCGAAGGGGAACAUUCUGCCAUGGAUGGUCGGAUACUUGAAGAGCAUACCGAAUAUGUUGUAUAUGCAAUCCAUAGGGUAUCUUCGAUAUUAGACUGAACCAUGUGCUACGUUUUGAAUGAAGAAUUUACUUGCCCAAACGAUAAUUUGCUUAAUUGUUAUCAGAUAGGUAAAUAGUUGCAUGACUACUAAAUGGUGUAGAACCUGAUCUCAGUUACAUAGUUCUUUUUUCAGCAUUUUAUGCUGAAGAUGCUUCCGAUUAUGCACAUAAACAAAGAAACAUUUUGUGUUGACAAACUAGUUUCUUUACACUUGUUUGAGCUGGUUAGUCCUCUUUAGUCAUCGCUUGAAGUGCACCAAGGGAUAGUUGCAUUUAACCUUUACAAGUCAAUGACAUAUCUGAUUCCUAUGUGGUUUCAAUUAAAUUGUUCUCAAGUAGUUUAGUGAGUUAGCAGAGCGGCAUUUGGAAAAGCUGCAAACAGCAAGGGACAAUUUUGAAUCUUAUAUGAUUUUUUAAUACUUGAAUUUUCUUAAUUAAAAUGUAAACAUUGGAUAUCGCUUUAUUAGCUUACUUUAGUAAGUGAGCAUAAGUUGACCUGAAAAUUACUGUAUCUAAAUCCUUUUGUAUGGUCGUAAUUCAAAUAUGAACUUGCCUGCAAAGUUUUGAAUGUCGAUCGGAUCGGCACAUGCUGAUUGGCAUUUACUGGUCCAACCAAGGACCAGUGGCGGGCCAUAUAGGUUGUUUAUGUUAGUAUCUAAUAUUUUAUUAUUUUGUCAAUGAUAUUGGGCACCAGAAUUCAUAUAUCUUUCAAGUAUAUCGGCAUCCUAAUGGUCCAAUCGGUUACUAAAAUUAGUAUCAUUUCGAGAUAUAAAUCCUUCUUUGUCAAUUCUGACAAAUUAUGUAACUUGUUCUUUCAUUUGUACAAAAUUAUGUACUAGAUCAUCAGAUAAUUGCUGACCCAUAUUUUCAUAUGCUCUUGUAGAUCUUGGAUCAAUAUCAAGAGUCUAAAGAAGCCCGAUCUAAAGAAGGUGCUGAUGUUUCCGGAAGCCUGCCCUCAAGUGUAAUAUUAGUUGGCCAUUCAAUGGGUGGCUUUGUGGCUAGAGCUGCAAUUGUGCAUCCAUACUUGCGGAAAUCAGCUGUCGAAACCAUAAUAACACUUUCAAGCCCACACCAGUAUGUUUUAUCACCUUUUUUCUCUGAUUAUGUAGAUUAUUAGAUUUCUAGCAUGAAUAUUUAAUCCUUGAUGAGAGCUUACAACUUGUCCAGAUUGCCUCCAAUUGCACUGCAACCAUCCUUGGGGCACUAUUUUUCACAAGUGAAUGAAAAAUGGAGAAAGGGUUAUGAGAUGCAAACAAACAAUAUUGGCCAUAUUAUAUCUGGUCCAAAAUUAUCUCAUGUUGUUAUUGUCUCUGUAUCUGGCGGCAUUUACGAUUACCAGGUUUGUUUUUUAUUUUUCUUAAUGUUAGUUAUAAAAGAGAUUUUUGAUGACUGUCUUUAUUUUAUCUUCCAUUUAUAUUAGUGUUUACUUUAUAGUUCUUGUUCCUGUAGUUCUUGGUUAUAUGAUUAGUGAUGUUCUAUCAAUCAGCAUUCUAGAUCCUUAAAGACAAUACACUCAAGUCGGGAAACCAUAGAAAAUAACCUUGACCAUAUUUAGUGUGCAUAAUUGGGAGUUUUCUAUGUGUGGUGUGAUCAUUGACCAUAUUUAGUGUGCAUAAUUUGGAGUAUGCAUAGAAAAUAACCUUGACCAUGUUCCAGCCAAAGUAGGUCUUUUGCAAUUCGUUCAGAUUAGGAUGCCAAUCCUUUUUACAAUGAGUUGCUAGGUGUGUAAUUUUGCAUUUUCCUCUAUUUUGCUUGGAUGAUUUUUGUUUGUGCUUGAGUUUGUAAAUGUGACUUUGUUCAAUGUAAAUCUUGUGUGAGUAUGCUGACUGUGGUCCCACUUCUUUGAUGAAUAUGUUUUUCCAGGUCCGUUCCAAAUUGGCUUCUUUAGAUGGCAUCGUUCCGUUUACUAAUGGUUUUACAAUAGGAAGCUCAGGUAUGAACAAUGUCUGGCUUUCAAUGGAGCACCAGUCUAUUCUCUGGUGCAAUCAAUUAGUUGUACAGGUAAGCAAGUCUACAGAUUGGUGCAUGGAUCAGUUUGGUUCUGUGAGUCCUCCAUCAACAUCAAUGUUCUUUGCAGAUUUCACAUUCUCUUCUUAGUAUGGUAAACUCUGAAACUGGGCAACCAUAUCCAAGUGUAGCAAGAAGGAUACUUGUGCUAACAAAAAUGCUUCAAAGUGGCAUACCUCAUAGUUUAAACUGGCUGGGGGAUAUGCAUACAUCUCAGGUUUCAAUAAAGCUUCCCAUCAAGGAUGCUGCACGUCAUACUGGUAUUUUUCAUUUUGCCACCUCUAGCACAUCACGCGUUGUUUUCAAUUUUACCAAGUUUGUAAUUAUUUAUGCACGAAAGCUGUACAGACUACAAAUUCAUGCACAAAUUAUCUGUGCACUGAAGCAAUGACAUUAUUAUAAAAAAGAACAAAGAAAAAGCUAUCUUUCAUCCGAUGUGGAUAUGAACUUAGACAUAUUUUUUUUCAUUCUUCGUACAAGUUUCAGAAAUAAAUUUUGGCAUCAAAUCUGUGACUUUUUAGAAAAUAAGGGGGCUGUAAGAAUAGCAGUGGCCUUCCUGAAGAGGACUUUUAUUGUGACUGGCUGCUACUAGUGUUUGGUCUGGCGAAAGUGAAAGAGAAGAAAAAAACCAGAAGUGCAAUUCUAGAUAAGAGAUUAUUUCUUUAUUCUGACUUUGGUUGGGAAUGUGAAACUGACAUCUGUGGCAAUUAAUGUAUUGAUUUUUCUUAACCAAACAUCAUAGGUAGCUAUAAAAUGAUUUGACAUAUUUUAAAGCUAAACAAAUUUGUUUUUAUAUGAUCCAACUUAAUAUUAUUCUUAACCCAGACACAUUAAAUCAAUGUGAUCAAAUCAAAAUUAACUAAAUAAUUAAAAUUUAUUCUAAUUAAAACAAUGCUGUCAUAUUUCAUCUUUCUGCAAUAAUAAAUUCUGGAACUCUGCAAAUUUGGCAACGACUUUGGGUNNNNNNNNNNNNNNNNNNNNCUGCAUAAAAAGUCUGUGUGACCCUUCAUUAGAAUUUAAGCGGUUUGAUUUAUAUUCAACUCCUAUUGGUGGAGGAUAACUUUGAUGAUUUUUAUGAUUACUCCCAUUGUACAUCUAGAAUCUGAACAUUGAUAUAGAUAUAUGUAGGAAGAUAGAUUUCUUGGGGUAGAACAUUUAAGCAAAUGAGUAAUAUAUUAUUGUUCAUUGCUUUUGGACUGAGAAUAAGAGCCUGUUGCUUGUUGCCUAUCUCUCUGUUCAUGCUUAUUUGUAACUUUCUCAAUGGUUGGGAAAGAUCUUUAUGACUGACCCCAAAUUGUUGUUCUCACUUCUUACCUUGUACUUCAGAAGCCAUUGUGAUAGAUAUGAACUAUGAAGUAUUAUAACUAAAGAUAUGCAUUGGGCUUGCAGAUCCUCCAGUGCAGGAUCGAUAUUCAUGCCCCCCCUCUGUUCACUGGAGUGAUGAUGGCCUUGAGAAGGAUCUCUACAUAGAAUCAACCACUGUUACGGUUUUAGCGAUGGAUGGGAAGAGGCGUUGGUUGGACAUUAAGAAACUGGUAAAUUUCACCCAGCUUCAAUAUUUUCUACUCAUGGGUGUGGUUUGAAGUUAGUGUUCCUCUUUCUUAGCUGGUCUCAUGCUUGAUGGGAUGCUUAAAGAAUAAUUUGCAUAGGUGUGCAAGCAAUAUUUUAUCUUUUGUUUCAUCAUUUACUCUUGAGAAUAUAAGUUCUGUGCAAUUCAUCUUUUACUCAAUCAAACCCAGUAUUAUCCCCACGUUGGGAAAGGCUGUUUCCUUGAAACCAUGAUGUCAAAGUGGCAAUAGAGCAAGCUUCCCAGUGGCUGAUGCUUGUCGUUAUUUAUGUUACUCUCACACUCUAUCGCAUUCUGUUAACCAUCUAACUUGGUCAAUUUAAUUUGUCUGUUCUUGCUAAUAAGUCACUGAAGACUCUUUUGGAUGGUUUCUUCACUGUAUGUUUAGGUAAUAUAUAUGUAUUGCUUAAUUAGUGUUUUAACUGCUUUCAGGGUUCAAAUGGUAGAGGACACUUCAUCUUUGUAACAAAUCUUGCUCCCUGUUCUGGGGUUAGACUUCACCUGUGGCCUGAGAAGUCGAAAAAAUCAUUAUUAGGUGAACUGCCUGUUAGUAGGAGAACCAUUGAGGUGACAUCAAAGAUGGUUCACAUUCCUGCAGGACCUGCACCAAGACAGGUACCUAUUCUGCAUCAUCCUCCGAUGAAAUUCCAUCAUGUACAAUCUGCAUAGAAACUAUUGGUUUUUAUUCAUUGACAGACAGGUAUCUCUAUUUUUAUUCAAUUUUUAUCCGAGCAUCAUGCCAUAAAUGCAAUUCUAGGCUUUUUUUUUUUAUGAUUUAAGGAGGCACUCUUACAGUGGAAAGAUCCUCUUUUAUGCAUCAGAUUGAACCAGGAAGCCAGACUGAACAAGCACCUCCAUCUGCCUUUCUUCAGCUAACUCCUGAGGAACUGCAUGGUUUUCGAUUCUUGACCAUUUCAGUCGCUCCACAUCCGGUAAUACCUUCUUUUCUGUUUUCUUUUCUUUUAUUCAGCUAUAUGGUAGAUCUCAAUUGUCACCUCCUAUAUAAAAAAAAUGGAUUUCUUUUGGAAUUCCACAUCACUUUCCUGGUCUAUCUGCAUGAAUUUCUGUACAAAAUUUGUGCUCUAUGACAUGAUCUUGCUUCUGCAGAUGUAGAUAUUAUUUUCUAUUCUGCUUUGUGGUUCCUAAACUAAUGCUCAUGUGGGUUAGGCUGUUGCUAGGUUCUCUCUUUUGGCUAUAUUUAUGAUGAUGAUAGCUUAUGAAAAUGUUGAUAUGCAUAACUAGUAACAAUUCCUAGUUUCCUUAUUUAAAAAAACAAGUGAUAAACCAUACUUUAGAUUCUUACCCUUUUUGUAGAUUACCUUUCCAGAAUUUCAUUACACCAUGUUAAUAUUUUCUGUAUUUCAAUUGGUUGUACUAAACUAUAAAAUACUAUCUAAGUUUAAGAAUUGAGACAUGUCUUUACAGGUCUUUAGCAUUGCAUGUAUCAGAUCUCCCUUUAGAACAUUGUGUCUGAUAAUAAAAUAAAAAAUUACCUCUUUCUAUCAUCAUUGUAAUCUAUGCAGUAAUUCAAACAGUUAAAAUCUGUUUAAGUAUAGAGCCUAUGACAAUUCUAUAGAAACUUACAAAACAUAUGUAUACUGUUAUAUAAUGCUACAAUUUAACUGUCUAGGAGAAAGAUGCUACCUUUUGUUUUAAAAUCAAGUUAACUGGUAGAUUCUUGAUCUACAUUUAUUUUUUGUUGUUGUUCAGACUGUUUCAGGUAGGCCUCCGCCUGCUGCUUCUAUGGCAGUUGGACAAUUCUUCAACCCUGAGGAAGGAGAGAGAAAAUUUUCUGCUGCUAUGCUUCUUCGGUCUAGCUAUGUGCAAGAGGUUCAUGCUUAAAAAGUUAUUUGUAGGUUUUUGGUUCACUUACAUAUUAUAUAGAUGUGGUACUUAAGAUGUUCAUUCUUUUCCAUUUAAGUAAAAACCUUAAUCAUUUUCCGGGUGGUUGCAGGAAAUGUUGCUUAAGGAGGAUCAUCCACUUGCUUUCAAUUUGUCGUUCUCCAUAAGCCUUGGUCUUUUGCCAACUAUUUUGUCUCUAAAGACAACUGGUUGUGGGAUAAAGUCUACUGCUGAACAAACUGGAGAUGAUGAGCAAAGCAGUAAGCUCUAUUUGAUCCUUCCUUUUCCUUGUUUCUUCCAAUCAUGUUUAAUGUUUGAAUUCUGAAGAUUUUAACUUUUCUAACUAUAAAUGAUUUCUCUCUUUUUAGUUCUUAACGUCCUAAAUCCUAAUUGCAUAUUGUUUCCCACUUGUCAAUGUGUAUUUAUAUUUGAAAUGUUGGACUUUAAGAGUUUAGAAUCUGUGGUUGAUGUAAAGAGCAUUGGAUGGGUACCAUAUAAAAUGACAGCAAAGAUGAAGCAUAAUGUUAGAUCUGGCAUGAGAGAGCUUAUUGAUCUUUUUCUCUAAAGAUAAGUGAGGUAGGUAAUAUAAUCUUUGUUGCAUGCAUUAAUCAAAUAAGUUAGAAUGAUGGGUAUGCUUGUCAAAACUUUGAGGGGCCUAUUUGCCAAAAUCCUUGGAGAAUUGUCAUAAGAUUUUGCAUGGGUGACAAGGAACCUCAAAUGAAGAAAUCAAAGGCUAGUAAACAUUGGAAAAGAAAGUAUGAAGAAAUUGGUUGCACAAACUAAAUAGUGGCAAGACAAGGUAUCAUAAAACCAAUCAAUACAUUCAAAAUUGGUGAGAAGGAACCUUGGAGAAUUGUCAUAAGAUUUUGCAUGGGUGACAAGGAACCUCAAAUGAAGAACUCAAAGGCUAGUAAACACUGGAAAAGAAAGUUUGAAUAAAUUGGUUGCACAGACUAAAUAUUGGCAAGAAUAGGUAUCGUAAAUGAUAAAACCAAUCAACACAUUCAAAAUGUACCUCGGUAGAAAGGUAUUGGUGCUUGCUGUGCCAACUCAGAGUUGCUGCUGACAUAUAACUAUCAAAUUGUGCAUUGUAUGAGGUUAUCGGCGUGGCAAACGCUAUUCCAUGAUACUACUUGAAAUGCAAAACUGCAAAAAUGACAAGUUGACUAUAUAUGGAAAUUUAGUAUCAAGAAAUUGAUGAAGCAAUUCCAAGUACACAAGUGUAAUAUGUCAAGCUAGUCUGAUAAAAUCAAAAUUAUAUAGAUUGUCUUAAAGAAUAUGGCUCUAAUAAAUAUCCUUAGGAGUUAGUUACUUGCGCCUCAUUAAUCAUCACAAGAACAAAGCAGUUAAUGUAGAACUAAUUAUUGUUUGGACGUGAAAUGAUCUGCCUUACUACACUUGAAUGAUCUAAAGGUGAUUGCUGUUGUGAUAUAUAAUAUAGAAAUAAUCUGAACUUUAAUGUCUCAUGUCUAUUGAAAAAUUGAAAUAACAUGUUUCUAUGGAAACUGUAAUCCCAUUACAUUCUUCUGAAACUGACCCCUAGAUUCCCAAAUAAUUAAUUCCUAAUGACUUAAUAAUCUCAUUGACAUAAUUUACAUCUUGGUAGGAUACAUGAGCAUAAAUUCCAUUCAGGUACUGGAUAUUAUGGGGAUCAGAUCACCCUUGAAAAUUUUCAGGAUUAAUGUGGUCUCUCAUAGACCUGAUAUGUAAGGCUUAUGUGUGGAUCCAUACAUCAGUUGUGUGAGCAUUCUCAUAUGUUCACCUACCUUCAAAACCAAUUGUAAAACUACUGGGAAGUUAAUGCAAAAAUCAUCUUAUUACAUUCAAGUCAACCAAUAGAUGGAGAAAUCAAAUUUAAUCUUGUGUUGCACUAGUGAUGGAAAAAAGCUUCUUUUCAUGUUUUUAAAAUUAUGGCAACUGAACAUAUCAUGGUGUCACAAGACCAGUUUUGUAUCUACGAAAGGAUGAUUGGAGAUUCUACUAAGGAGGAAUUAUGUGCCAAUAUAGUAUGAAGCAUUAAAUGGGAAUAAAAGGACUAAGACAUGGAGAAGUGAAAUAUUACAUUUUUGACAAGGACAACAACAAUAAUAAAACCGUAAUGUCCCAAUUAUUUGGGAUUGGCUAGAUCCUUUGCUACCAUUAGACUCUGCAAAAAUAAUAUUGAAAUCGAUUAAGAUUUAUGUUUAUGAAACCUGAUUUUUUUUAUGAGUAGAUCAAUGAAAAUUGUAUCACACAUUUUUAAUCAAAUAUACAUCACCAUGGACAUAUACACAUCGGAAUAAUGGGUUGCUAGACUUGUUAUUGAGAUUCCCCAUGGUUAGGGUGGGAACAUAUAGAGGCAACAUGAAAUAUAAAAACUACAAUUUUUUAACAUCUGUCAUGUGUUAUGACAGACUUAUUGGAAACUUUGAUAGUUUGAUUGGUCAGGAUGUUUGAGGUUGGUCUUGGCUUGCCGCACCUUGUCUUUUCAUAGAUAAAAACUACAAUUUUUUAACAUCUAUCACAUGUUAUGACAGACUCAUUGGAAAUUUUUGAUUGGUCAGAAUGUUUGAGGUUGGUCUCAGCUUCCAGCAGCAAUGCUGUCUUUUCAUAUAUACACAACAUUUUUUUUCUUUCUAUACAUGCUUGCUUAAAUGUUCAGUCCUCCAGUUACUCAUGUUGAUUUAUUGUUAGCAUUUCAGGGUUUUGCAAACUUCGUUGUUUCCCACCUGUUGCCCUGGCUUGGGAUUCGGUAUCUGGUCUACAUGUCAUUCCCAACAUGUAUACUGAGACUAUCACUGUAGAUUCAUCACCUGCAAUGUUUGAUUCUAGUCCAGAGUCUGACAAAACUAUUGUAUUUUUGUUGGUAAAGCUCUUUUUUAUCUUGUAGUAUAUAUUUGUUGAUGAUUGUCAUGGAUUUGCAAUCGAUUUCUGAAUAUAUAUAUCAAAAUGUUCGUUCUAAGGUGUAUCUUGCAUCAACAUUAUUGCAGGUGGACCCACACUGCUCAUAUACAAUGGGUAUUUCUGUUUCUUUAACUGCUGCAGCAAGCAGAUUUUGUCUUUCAUAUUCUUCACAGGUGAUUGUUUUCUGUGAUUCGCUGCUUUUCUUCUGAGCUUACUGAUUUGUAAUCUACAAUUUUGAUCUCCAUAUAGAAGUCGCACAUAAUAAGUAACCUUCAAAAUUUGGAGAGAGGAAAAGGAAUUAGGAAAAAAAUGAGAAAUCUUAAUUAGUGAUCUUUUCAACCUAUCAAACAGAAAAAAUAAUAAUUUCACUUUUGACAUUUGCAGGUAAAUUUGUCGUCUUCAUCAAAGAAAAAGGAUAAAAUGGUUUAAAAUAGGUUCAAUUCCCCAUCUAAGGGUGUUUAUGUCUGCAUGCUUAUAUCCUAGUAUUGUGCAUAUUGCUCGCAAUUUGAUUCACUGCAUGUUUUUUUCAUUCUUUCUUCAUUUGUUUGAAACUAGCUUUACUUCCAUGGAUAUGCUUCUCUAUAUCAAACUUGAUCACUAGGCUACUCGACUUUGCAGAUUACUGGUUUCAUGAUAGCGGCUGUGUUUUUUGCUCUGAUGCGGCAAGCACGUGCUUGGGAACUCGAUGCAUCACUUCCAUCCAUUUUGUCAGCUUUGGAGUUUAAUUUGAGGAUGCCACUUCCUUUUCUGAUCUUUGCUGUGUUACCUGUUUUUGUUUCUUUGCCUGUUCUAUUGCUGACAAGGCAACAUGUGCCUCCAAUUGCAAGCUACAUCUCUCUUUCUGUAUUGUGCUAUUUAGUUGCAAAUGGAUCUGUGAUGAUAUUGAUUCUAAGUUCUCAGCUGAUCCUCUAUGCUGCUGCAACUAUACAUGUUUACAUCAAGAAAAGGUUAGUGUUUUCCGUAGUUUACAAAUAAUCUGUUUUCCAAUUAAUUUAAAUUAUGCAGUUCUUAUAAUUCUUUUCCUUUUGUUAAAAAAAUGUUCAUUUGAACUAGUCUUUGUUGAUCAUUGGAUUUGUAUCUUCCAUCUUCAAAAGGAUUUUAUUAUGCAUUCUUUAACACUAAAUUAAUUGUGCUAAAGCAAAAUUUCAUGUUUUUGAUUAAUUUAAUAUGCAACAGUGUGGAUGAUUUUUUUGUACCAGGAGGUCUCUUGCAUGUCUGCACACCAUCCAGCAGCUAGGACUAAUAAUCGUGGCAUAACCAAAUUUGUUGACCCUAAUACCUUGGAUUGUGUCAAAAUUCAGUAGUUUACUCUUAAAAAUGUUCUGCCCAAAGAAGUUUAGUUUCUAGAAAAAGAUUUUAUUAUCCUAAAAGAAUAGAAGAUCUCUCUUAAACCAAGGAAAGUUUUGGUUGACUGGAGAAGGAAGUGAUUAAAAAGUUCUGGAAGGUAUGUGUUAGAUGGAUUGUUCACCUUUGCUUUCUAGGAGCUAGAAAAAUCAAGAAAGAGAGAUUUUUUUUGAUGAAUUUUGUUGGAUCUAAACAAAAUUUUGGGCAAGGAAACUAGAAUUAUGAUUGGUGGAGGUUAACAUGUGACAAAAAUAUAUAAUAGGUUGGUGAUCAGUCUGAUUUGUUCUAACGUCUCUUCUGGAUGGCUCUUUUUGUUUCUUUUUUUCUUCUUUAUCCCUCUGUCCUAGUAUUUAUGUUGUCUUUUUGAUAAAAGGGAAGCUCAGGCUUUGCCUAUCUUUGCCUCAAAGAAAGACCAAAUAGCAAGUCAAUCAUAUGCUGGUGGGAGUAUUGUGCUCUGGGUUAUAUUAAUUAAUAAAAGAUGCAUAUGAUCAAGUUUUAAAUACAGGGUGAUAUAUCGACUGCUUAUAUUGCUUGAUAUCAUCAGAAAAAUAAUAAGAUGUUAGAUAUCAAUCAGCACUGUCCUGUAUGGUCUAUUGGUAUAUGUUUGAAUUGGUAUAGACUACUUUAUACAUAUUGGUUCAUAGAGGUGUUUUUUUUUUCAAAUAGAAUUAUCUUAAAUCAUCAAAUGCUCAUACAAGAUGUUUGGAGGUGAAAUGCUUCUCCAAAAGAUAUUAGUCAAAUGUUGUCUUGCAAAGUUUGCUAAAGCAUGAGCAUAAAAAAUUGUGUUGACGUGGGAUAAAGUUCCAGUCUGUAACAUGCAUGACUUUUGCUAGAUGUAGGAUGUCUAGAGUUAUAUUUUUGAACCUCCAUGAGUGAUGUCAGGUUGUUGCAGAAGCUAUAUGAGUUGCAUAGAGUCUGAUUUGACCUGUAGAGAGGAUAAACUCUUGCUCAAAGCUUUACCUAGUCCUUGGUAGAUCAUCCAAGUUUCAGCCAUUAAUGAGGAGGAUGUUUUUACGGUGCAGCAACCAGCAAAAACAAUAUUGUUGUCUCGAUCAAAGAUGACGUAUCUUGCCCCUGUAAAAGAAGACAUAGGAGAGUAAGAGCCAUCACAGAAGAGAGAGUAUGAGUGUUGAUUAGUUGUUUGUGUGGGAAUGGGGGAAGGAAAAUUUUUUCCUUAUCCCUCAGGUUUUGGGAUAGUAAUUGGGGCAUCAUUGGUUAAGCCAAGUGCACUGACCGAUAUAUUGGUGGGUUGAAGGUGUUGGUUACGAUGUUUGCAAUUCAUUACGAUGCUUCCAUAAAAGCCAAAGACAAUUUGCUAGAAGAGAGCAAAAGAGAGAAGUCGAGUGAGGAUCUAAAUCUUCUCCUUUGUAAAGCCAAGAACCAUGAAUCAAGUUGUUGAAGAAAUUAAGAGGAUGAGAUGUUUGGGCUUUACCAGAGAUUUUUUGUGAAGACAAUCAAAGAAGAUAUGCUUGAUUGAGUCUUGGCUGGAUUGGCAAACCGGACUUGUGAAAAUGUAAAUAUGGAGAAAGUGGGAUGUCCAUUUGGAGGUGGAUAGACAUUUCUGAAGCUUCCAUAGGAAGUUUUUAAUCCUAGGGAGUAUCAGAAAUGCCCACAUCACCUUCCAGCCCUUCCAUCCAUUGUCCAUUUUUCUAGGGAUGUCUUUUAGAUAGGCAUAAGCACUACGAGCAGAAAUAUGUCUGAGGGGAUGGGGGGUCAAUUGUCAUCACUUGGGAUGGCUGGAAGAAAAAUAUUAAGAAUGGAGGUGGCAAUGUCAAUAGAGAAAAUGUGAUGAAUGAGUUGGGCAUUCCAUGAGUUGUGUUCAAGAAGGUCCUAGACAGAAGUGACUGUAUCUAAAUAGUUGACGUUGAUGUUGGUAGACCACUUGGAUAAAGGAAUAUUAAUGAUCCAUGGGUCAUUCCAGAGAUGAGUGGUAACACCAUUUGAUAUUAGUGGCAUUGAGUGGAUUGUAGAGGGAUUUCUAACCAUAAGAUGAUUUCUUGGGUAAUGAGGAGUUCCAAGGGUGAAGAUGUCCAUAUUUAGUAGACAAGAUUUUGGCCCAAAGACAAACAACAUCAUUAAGUAGAGAGAUGAUGCGUUUAGCAGCAAUCAUGGUUUUGACAAGUUUCAAAUCACGAAGACUGAGGCCGCCAUCAGCCUUAUGAUUGGUAAUCCUAGUUGAUGAGACAAAGGCUGUUGUGAUUGGGUUAGUUGUUCUGAAAGAAUUUUCUAGAAAUGGUAAUGAUUCUAUUAAUAUUUUUGUCAGAUACCCAAGUGUUCAUGAAGGUAUGAAGACGGAUGACAUUAACAAUCGAGUUGAUAAGGGUGGUUUUCCCAGCUUGAGAGAUAAGGUCUUUUUUCCAUCCUUGUAUUUUUGUUGAGGCAUUUGUUAAUAAUGAUGUCUUGGUGCACCUCAGUGAGUCUGGCGUGGCUGAUGCAAGUACCUAGAUAGUUGAUGGGCCAACUGCCCUCACCGAUGUUGAGAAGGUUUUUGACAUGAUGCCUAAUGUAGACAUUGCAAUUUUUCAAAAAAAUAUAUGCUGGAUGUUUUAGUGUUAACCUGAAGGCCUGUGAUUCUAGAAUGUGUUGAGGGCAUUAAUAACAUUAAGGCAGGAUUUAUCAAUAGUUCUAAAGGCUAUAAUGAUGUCAUCGGAAAACAUCAAAUAUGUGAGCUUUACACCUUUGAUACUGAAAGGAGUAAUAUGACCGUUGGCUGACAAAUCAUUUAGUAUACGAGAAAGGAUUUGCUGAGUUAUAAUAAAGAGUAGAGGGGAUAUGGGGUUGUCCUUACGAAUGCCAUGAUGACUCUUGAACCAAUCAGUAUGGAAAUCGUUGAUUAGACAAGAGAAACUUGGAGAUGAGAUGCAUGCUUUAACCCAUUUGGUAAAUUUAGAUGGAAAAUUAGUUCUAAAGGCGGGAUUUAUCAAUGGUUCUAAAGGUUAUAAUGAUGUCAUCUGCAAACAUCAAAUAUGUGAGCUUUACACCUUUGAUAUUGAAAGGAGUAAUAUGACCGUUGGCCAACAGAUCAUUUAGUAUACGAGAAAGGAUUUGUUGAGUUAUAAACUUAUAAUAAAGAGUAGAGGGGAUAUGGGGCUGGCCUCACGAAUGCCAUGAUGACUCUUGAACCAAUCAGUAUGGAAAUCGUUGAUUAGACAAGAGAAACUCGGAAAUGAGAUGCAUGCUUUAACCCAAUUAGUAAAUUUAGAUGGAAAAUUAGUUCUAAAGGCAGGAUUUAUCAAUAGUUCUAAAGGUUAUAAUGAUGUCAUCUGCAAACAUCAAAUAUGUGAGCUUUACACCUUUGAUAUUGAAAGGAGGAAUAUGACCGUUGGCCGACAAAUCAUUUAGUAUACCAGAAAAGAUUUGUUGAGUUAUAUAAUAAAGAGUAGAGGGGAUGUGGGGUUGGCCUUACGAAUUCCAUGGUGACUCUUGAGCCAAUCGGUAUGGAAAUCGUUGAUUAGACAAGAGUAACUCGGAGAUGAGAUGCAUGCUUUAACCCAAUCGGUAAAUUUAGAUGGAAAAUUCAUUUUGGACAUGGCAAAAAGGAUGCCAUCCCAGAAGAUAGAAUCAAAGGCUUUAGAUAGGUCAAUCUUGAGCAAAAUCAAAGAAUUACGACCUUUGGAGUUGUACAUUGCGUGAGCUAACUCAUGAGCCACAACAAUGCUAUCGUGUAUGGAACGACCCAGAAGGAAGGCUGAAUCUGUUAAUGAUAUUGGGAAGGAUAUUUCUGAUUCUAUUAGCAAGAGUUUUGGUAAGAAUCUAGUAGAGAACAAUACAUAGAGCAAUAGGUUUGUAGUUCGUGAUGGCUUUUGUAUUGGACUUUUUAGGGAUGAAGAUUAGAUUGGUUUUGUUCCAACUAGGAGGCAGAAGAUUGAAAGUCAUUGAAUGCUUUAGUGAUAGAAGAGGCAAGCAAGUCCCAAUAAUGUUUGAAAAAUUCAAUAGUGAACCCAUCAAGCACAAGACUUUUACCAAGUCCCACAGAAGUGCACCAUGUGUCUCAGAUGUGGUGAAAGAUGUCGUGAUAGAGUCAUGGUUGGAAUCAGGAAUUUUUUGAAAUUGAAGCCAAUUGGUCAUGAUUGGGAUUUGAGUUAUCCAAAUUGACUGCCCAUAGAUUUGAAUACCAAUGAAGGAAGCAUGAACUAAUGUCUUCAAGCUUGGUGAUGAUGUCACCAGAGUUAAGUUUAAUCGAGUGAAUGAGAUUUUUACAUCUUCUGUGCUUGACAAGGGAAUGAAAAUAUUUGGUAUUCUUGUCAUUGUUCUUGAUCCAAUUGGUUUUGGCCUUGGUCCACAUUUAAGGUGCACCUGAGACUGAGAGUGCCAUGCUCUUGUCGGUGAGAAUUUGGAGUUCAAUUAGGUCUCUCUCAUUCAGAGGAUGGGACUUGUUUCGAGAUUCAAGGUCAGUGAUAGUGGCUAAGGUGUUCUUGAGUUUAGUUUCGAUGUUCCCAGCACUGUACUGACUCCAUUGGAGAUGUCAGGACCAAGGCUGUUCAAUCUCUCAUGAAGAUUAAACAAGGAUAUGGUGGGGAGACUAGGAUUGCACCAAGAAUCGUUUAACACGGACCUAAGCUCAGGGUAAUCUGCCCAAUAAGGCUCGAAAAUAAGUGAUUUAGUUGGCUUGGGGCCAGAGUAAGAAUUGGUGCAGAUCAAAAGAGGGCAAUGACCCAAUAAAAGGUGUCUUAGAUAGAAAACAAAAGCAAAAGGGUUGAUGUCUAACCAUGACAUAUUAGCAAGUGCUUUGUCAAGUCCAACUCCAACAGAAACUCGAGAGUUACCAAUCCGAUUAUUGGACCAAGUAAAGUUCGAACCAUGAAAACCCAAAUAAGAAAGAUUGCAAGUGAACAUAAAAUCACGGAAAGAAGUAAUUGAAUUAUUUAAUUGAAAUGGCCUGCUCCCCUUCCUUUCCUUGGGGUGGACAAUACAAUUGAAAUCUCCACAAAGAAACCAAGGUAAAGAAUCCAAAUCAAGCGAUGAAAGACCAGACCAAAGCGAGUUGUGUAAACUAGGAAUAGGACUGGCGUAAAUAGCAGAGAGGAGCCACAAAGAUUUACCUUGUUCUUCCAGUAAGAAGUGCAUAAUUUGGGAUCCAUACUCACAGUGCCUGCUCUUAGUUUGUCAAGUUUCCAAGCAACAAUUAUACGUCCUGAUCUACCGCGGGCUAGAGAAGCUGCUCCCUCCCAGUCACGGCUGAGUCUGCUUAUGAAUUUCUGGCUGGCCUCCAUGUUCAAGUGAGUCUCUAGAAGUACAACAUGACUAAUAUACAUGGAUUUAAUUAAAUACAACAAAUGAUUGAGGCAAUCACAUUUGUGAGCCCCUCUACAAUUCCAACUCAACACAUUCAUGAGGGAGAUGGAGAGGACAUGGCUAAGGACCUGCUGCAAUCUGUAGAAACAAUUUUGGUGGAUUCGGAUUUCUUUUUUCUUACUUUUGUGCUUAGAGAAAGAAGAAAUAGGAAGAGAUCCUUCGGAGGGGUGGAUCAGGCUUUGGGACCUGGCUUCUGAGGAAGAUGGGACCAUUCUAGAUCAUCACCAUCUAGGAUGAAGUCCCCUUGAUCUUCAUUUGCUUGCUCUGCUGCUUUUGGAAAGCUUGGGUUACCUUGUGUACAAGGCUGUUGAAAAGCCCUUCUUCAGGAUUGCUCAAAUGAGGGGUGUCUUCGGUCUUCGUAGGACGUUGAAUGAGAAGGAUCAAUCGGUAGGGACCUGCAGAAGAAACUCGCCAUGUUCUUGCAGGAAUGGAAUAGAAGGUGGAGAGGCCAAAUGUGUUAGCGAAUGGUAGGGAAGGGAGAGGAGUUAGGAAACGGGACAGAUUGGAGAUGAAGAUAUUUAUCAUAGCAGGAANNNNNNNNNNNNNNNNNNNNAGGAGUUAGGAAACGGGACAGAUUGGAGAUGAAGAUAUUUAUCAUAGCAGAAGGGGAUGAUUGUGAUAAAUAUCUUGCCAUGUUCUUGCAGGAAUGGAAUAGAAGGUGGAGAGGUCAAAUGUGUUAGCGAAUGGUAGGGAAGGGAGAGGAGUUAGGAAACGGGACAGAUUGGAGAUGAACGUAUUUAUCACAGCAGAAGGGGAUGAUUGUGAUAUCAUAGAGGUGUAUUUAAUGAAUAUCUUAUGACCAGAGUAUUAUAUCAAGGUUCAACUUUAAGUCCUUUAUUUUUGACAUUUGUAAUAGACCUUCAUAAAUUUUAGAGUUUGCUAAUGAUAUUCUUUUGAUUGAUGAGAAUAUGAGUAAUUAUAAAAUCAUGGAGAUAAUUGUUAGAAAUUAAAGGUUUUAAAUUAAAUAGGACUACAGAUUAAGUACAAGGCUUUAAAUACCAGUUUCAUAAAAACAUCAAUUGCUGGUUGGAUUAUUACAUUGUCAAGUUACCAGUGAUAUUUCGACGUAUACCACCCAUAUGUAGAGCGGUAUCAAAUUGCAUGGAUUGUUAUCAAGUGCUUGGUCGGGUUGACAAGUAUCAAGUUUUGUGUAUUGGUUUGAUUCUAUUAUAAACCAUGUCUGAUUAUAUGAAAUACAUUUUUAGCAAUCCUAGAAAGGAAUUAAGAGUUGCAUCUAAAAUAGACAACAAGUCUGUGUAAGCAAAAAAAAAGUUAUAGUGUAUCUAUUCUCAAUAAAAAAGACAGAUUGAUGAAAUUAUAUUUCAUAAACCAAACUGUACGGAAAAAGAGAGUGGGAGUGGGUAGUUGUAGUUUUGUAUGAUUGUUAUGUGUUCCUUAGAUUAAAAAGAAAAACUUUAUUGGAUAGUUGUAAGGCUAGCCAUGCCUCAUAGUGAUAUUUUGACAUCUAAGAAACAACAAAUACAAAAAGUUAUAACUAAAAAAGAUAUUCAUUCUUCUAUAUAAGAUCGAAUGAGUAUCCAUACAAAAUGGUGUGGCUUUUUGUAGAAAAAGAGACAUAUAUACCUUCCAAUGAGGAUUAGUUUCAGAGUGAUUCGGCUAGCAACCUAAAGAUGGAUCGGACGAAUUGCUUGGUCUAAUUUGGAGGUAGGGUCAUUGCCUAGUAGUCCUACCUAACUAGGCUUACCACUCGGUUUUAAUAGUUCAAAAUCUACCAUUCGGUAUCCCUAUAAUUUAUUUUAUUUGUUUUACAGUUGCCUUUCCUUUUUUUUCUUUUUCUUUAAUAUUAUCUUCCACGUAAAACUAAACCCUUUCUUUCUCUCUCCCUCUCUUUGCCACUUCUGCUCGAUCCGUCAUAUUAUCACUGCUGCUUGGCUGCCUACAGCUUCCAUCCCACUGCAUCACCACUUGCCCACCAUCUGGUUCGCACUUCCUCCGCUGUUGGUAUAUCUCAUUUUUUUCCUCCUCUGCUUCUCUUGUUUCCUUUCCCUGGUUCUCCUUCACUUGCACCGCUCCCCCUCCUCUCCCUUUGGUUAGUGUUGACAAGAUGGUAUUGUCGGUAUGUACCGGGAUUGGUAUGAGUCUAGUAUAUAGAUUCAAAACCCGCAUUCUAGUUAUGGAGACAAGAAAAUUUUCCAAGAAACUGUAAAAAAAAUACAGUUGCUUUUAAUUUAGCUAGGAUUUUUCCUUAUAUGAUGCUCAGUAUCAGGAAAAUAUUCAAGUCACCGGCCUAAAUAGUUGGGACAUUGACAUCUUGUUCUUGUUGUUGUGAUAGAAGAUAUAAGCAAGUCCUUUAUAAAAUUAAUUUUGGAGGCUGAAAGUUAAAACUAGGGUGUGCGAUCAGUGAGCACAGUUCCAUCCUAGAAAGAGCAGCUGUGUAAAGUUUGAAUUUAUGAAAAAAAAAUUAUUUCAGUAAAGUAACAAGCUAGUUUUUAACAGGAUACUGGACUUUUUGUAGAAAAUUAAACAAAGCCCAGAACACUGGACAUUAGUCACAUUAUGCCCAUCCUAAUGAGAUUUUCCUUGCACUAAAGUAAUAAGCUAGUCUUUAAUAGGAUAUUCGACUUUCUGUAGAAGAUUAAACAAAGCCCAGAACAUUGGACAUUAGUGACAUUCUGUCUAUCCUAACAAGAUUUUCCUUACAAAUUCAAUCUUCAUGAUUUUGGAAAUGGUGUAUUGGUUUUGCAGCUGGCUGGCAUGGGAAGACAACUUUCAGAUUGCGUUUUUGAAUCAAAUAUUUAGGUUUACAUCAAUCUUUUACUCAUUGAAGGUGAGCUACCUCUUCUACAUUUCUUGAUUUACAAUUCGAUUAUGGAGAAUGUGAAACUUUGAUGAGGACCUAUAUGACAUUUGGAAUUACUUAUGCCUCUAGAAACUAGAACUGUCUUUAAGAGCUAUUCGUAAUUCUCCUAGCAUCCACACAUAAAUGAUGAACUUCUGGAACAGAUUGUGCAGAUUCUCAGGGGCAGUCCAAAUUUCGUUGUAGCAUUUGUUGCAAUUCCACUGGUCUGUUUUGUUCAUCCAGCACUUGGCCUGAUUGUAUUGCUUAUAUCUCAUGCUUUCCAGUGUCAUGCUGCUCUGUGCAGGUAUUUCUUUGAAGCAGCUCUCAAUACCUGUUUGAUCAAGUUGUUAUCAUCUUCAUUUUAGUGUUGCUUUUUCAUUCCUAAAACAUUAUAUUCCAUCCAUCAAUAACUGCAUCAGUUUUUGCUUAUUAACAACUUAUUCUACUUUCUUUGUUAAUGUAAUGUUUUUAUUACUUGCCCUUGCUUUCCUUUUAAUUUAUUUACUGUGGACAAUGCAGAAACUCAUUGUUAUUGGUGCAUUGUAAUUGCAUCUGUAACAAGUUCUAUUAGCUUCCCAAUUUCUAAGUUUUGUGUGUCAAUGGUGUAAAGGAGACUGUUGAUCUUGCUUUCUUAACUAUUUUACACAAGUGUACACUUAACCAAAGCUAAUGGGUACUUUUGAGAACUGGAUAGCUUUGUCCUGCUCAGUGCAUCAAUGCUCUGCUGCAACUUAAGUUUUUCUGUCUCAAAUUUGGUAGUGUUCUGCAAGUUACGACUUCGGUUGUUCUCUAACUUUAUGCUGUUUCAUUCUUCUAUGAAAUUACAGAACUAAUACAGGAUAAUUGUGAAAGAAAAGGAGCAUGUCACAACAUCUUACUAGUUGUUCCAAGUAGAAUAGGUGAAUUCAAAUAAUGAAGUCCUUGUUUAGGUAGGACGUAGGAGUACUAAAUUUUUUGAUCAACAAGCACCAAGAUCAUAACAUGAUAUGCAGUAAUUACUCCUUGUGAGUAAAUUUUUGGAACCUAGAACCAUUUAAAUGCCCAGAAUAACUAACUAGUAUGUUAGCUAAUAAAGUAAUGAGCUCUAGUAGAGGUCAUUCAGGUCAUUCUUUUCUUUCUUUGCAAUUUCAGGAAUUCCAGGUCUUCAUACUGCAUGCAAUAAAGCUUUGAGAGAGAAAAGAAAAAUGUCUACCCAAAUAAAGGUCUUUGGCCUUCCAAAGCUUUUUCACUAUGUACUUGAGUAUUUCCUCUAGUACGUCAUUAAUUCUCCUCUCUUAGUCCAUACUUAAUGAAAUGGUCUGAUGCUCAUACAUAUCCAUGUAGUAACAAGGUCAAGCUUUUUGUGUCCGUAAGAUUUUGUUCUCGAUUAUUUUGUUGACCUGAUAUCACCCUAAUUUUUUUUUUUUUUGCUUUAUUUUCAUUCUAACAAACCUGGACACAUCAAGGAACUUCAUGGUUAUAAGCCCCAAGCUGCUCUUUGGCCACCAAUUUUCGGCAUUUGUUAGAUAUUGUGUGAUUCAUUUACAAUCAGUUUUUGCCCCUCUUUAAAGUUGACAGAGAACAGAAAUAGCUAUUAAUUGAUAUUGUGGUUAGGUUGAAGAAAGCAAAAUAAAUUCUUAGACAAACACCUAUUUGGCAAGAGUUAAAGCAAGAUUUAGAAUGAGAUCCUCCUAGGGGUCCUGCAUCAAAGGUUCCAAAGCUGGUCCUCUUGUUAAAACUUCCUAGGAGCACGUAAAACUGGACUUGUAAAUAGAUUGGAUAUAAUCCAGUCAGAUCCAAAAUCUGAUCUGAUAUAGGUGGUUCUUGAUGGACAUUUUAAUACAAUGUUUCAAUCCACUUAUUCAAUUAUAAUCAGAUUGGAUACGACAUCAGCCCCAUCGUAUAAUAGAUCCAAUCAACUUAUUGUUUACGUGCACCAAAAUGAGUAGAUUGGAUAUUUCAUAAUUGUGUAAAGGAAGUGAGAUGUACGGUGGAAGGAAGAGACUAGAAUCAGGAAUAAAGCUCAAAGGAGGAAGAAAAAGAAUAACCGCGGCUAUAAGGAUAUGUCAUCUUUUACCCUAUCUUAGGAUAUGUCAGUAUUUUAUUGUUAAACCUACUUUUUAGAAUAAAAAAAAGUCUCAAAACCUCCCAUGCAAGAAAGAAUUUCUGUUGACAUUGACAUGUCCUCUAUUCUUUCGGUUUACAUUUGAUCAUCUUCUUAUAAUAAGUUCCUUGAUCUUUGUUACUUCCUUUGGAUAUACGACUACCAGUGGACAAAGUGUCUUUCCCAGAUUUAUUAAUUGUUUCAACUUCAUCUGUGGUUACACCUUCCAAAAAUAUUAAUUACUUAACAAAAAAAAGGGCAUUUCUUUUGUAUCAGUACCCCUAUUUUUGCCCACUAAGAUGAGUUUUAUUUGAUCUUUGAAGGAAGGAUAUUGCAUUUCUCUAUGUAUUGUUUGACUUUUCACUAUUAAGGUCUGAGUUUAUUUUUGUUCAACAUUAGCAAAAGUCCACCCAUGUGGAUUAGUGGAAUAUCAUGAUCUUUGAUAUCAUGUAGCUUUCUCGUUGAACACUUGAACACCUCAUUUCAUUUACUGUCUCGUGGACCCUUAUUCAUUUUCACUGAUAUUUCCUUUUUUAAUUCUCUCAAAUAGUUCUUUUUGUCUUUAUGACCUUUGAACACUCCAUUUCAUUUAUUAUUCCAUGGACCCUUAUUCAAUUUUACUGAUGUUUCUUUUUUUGUUUUUCAUUCUCUCAAAUAGUUCUUUUUGUCUUUAUGACCUUGCUAUCGUAUUGAUACUCUUUUAUAUGGUUUCUCUGGUUAUCAUUCUAAGAGUUUAUUUCAUUCUUGUAACAGUUUUUUGACGGCUUCUUUACGCAGCCAUGCUCAAAGAAGGGAAUUCUCUGGCUCAGGAACCAAUUGCAAGCCUUUUUUGCUAUCCAAAUGUGGAACAACUGAUGAUUUUGAUUCACUGCUUCCUGUCGAUGAAAUCUCUCCAACUAGCCCAAACACAGUGAAAAGCUUUGGUGACAGUCAACUAGAAUUUUUCAAUUACCAGCACAGCAUAUUGAUCUUGCAUCUUCUUGCUACACUGAUGUUUCUACCAUCACUAGUUGCCUGGUUGCAGGUAUGGGAUCUCAUAGUUCUUUUCUAGCUACUGAUAGGCAUCGUGAAAAAUUAACUGAGAAGGAUUGCCUACUUGAACUUACCAUUAUGCUAGCACAGCAGUGAGCUUUUCAUUUUUAACUCUUAAAAGUUUUGAAUUUGCCAGGACAUGCAUUGCAAUUUACAUGACAGACAUGUCAGGUUUCUUCUAGAUUGUUUUCUUCUGUGAAAAUUUCCGUGCAUUAAGCUUAAGUUGCAACACAUAAUAUAAAUCACCAAGAGUCCCUUAGUCUUUGCUGGGAAGCUACACCUAAUUAUCUAAUAAUAUAUAUUUUUUAAUGUUUUCUCUUAAUUCCACAUGUCUACCUCAACAUAUCUAUCUCAACGAUCCAUAAAGUAUUACUGAACUAAAAAUUUUCUUAUAUAUUUUUUCUUUCAAUUUAAAUUUUAAAGUACCCAAUGAUUAUACAAAACUCCUGAUGCCCUCUCCAUUUUAACUACCCAUUUUUACUCAUUGAAUAAUAAAUCUCUUCAUUUUGUUGAAUUACCAUUCCAAGAUAUCUAAAAUUUUAUUUAUCAAAAAAUAUUGUUCAUUUGACUUAAUUAUAUUCUUAGGUUUACUCCUUGUAUUAAUUACUAAGAUUGUAUAUCUCAUAUAUUCAGUCUUAGCUUUACAUAAUCUAUACCCUUUAGUUUCUUAGGAUUAUUUUUAUUACUCAAAGUAGAAUUAGUUUCAUGUAAGCGCUCAUCAAGUAAUACAAAUAUAUCAGCAAAUAAGAUACAUCAAGCAGAGGUCUAUCUUAUAUAUGACUAGAAAGUUCAUCCAUUUUUUAGCUUGUAUAUGUUUUUUAUUAACAAGAAUAGUCUCGUGGCUUCUCUUAUGCUAUUAUAAUGUUUUGUAGUUUAUACUUGCUUAUAUUUUUCAUCAUAUGAAGUUUCUUUUGGCUUGUCAAAGAUUUACUUGUUCUCUCCUGCAUCUCUUAUAUUUCUCAACAUUUGUUCCAGAGAAUUGGGAUGGGCCAGAGCUUCCCUUGGCUUAUCGAUUCUGUUCUAUGCAUGGGUGUCAUUCUGCAUGGUCUUUGUGGAUCGAGGCCAGAUGUGAACUCUAUUUAUUUGCCCUUACAGGGCAGUCAUGGUCGCGAAGUUGGCUUUGGCCUUGUGUAUUUUCUUGCUGGGUAUUUUACUUUCUUGAACACUCUUGUUUCGACCCCUUACAGAGCAUUCUACGCCAUGGCGGCUAUAGGAACCAUAUCUUGCAUUUUGAAGAGUAUUGAUAAAAGGAAUAGAGAAAGAGGAGACAUUCAUUCUAGAAGUAGGCGGAGACAUUCUCAUAAACACUAACUACCGACUUCCCAAUGGUUUGAAAGAAGUAUCAUAUGGUGCGUGCAUGUUAGUUGCUUUCUGGAUGGUUGUCUGCGGUACAACUUACAGAACAACUAGCUGCCAUGGUCAUGACACUGUAUGAGCUACAAUUCCUCCAGUUUUGAUGUGGGACAAGAAAGAAGCAGCAUUGUUUUUCUUUUUCUAAAUUUUGGGAAGAACAUCCAUCCAUUCCCAAAGUAAGAAAUUAUCACAUGUAAUUUGCUGCAUUUUCAAAGCAAAUUCGAAUGCACCAUUUUUAUAGGCUUUAUAUGCCAGUUAAGUAAUGGAACUUGCUCCAGUCAAUUUAUUGGUAAGCUUUUUGUUUGUAUGUGGUACUGAGAUCCGUUGUUGCAAAAUGUAAUGCUUUUUAAAACCCUUUGCUGUGGUCCCUCCAAAGUGCUUGACAAAUUCUUUACUGAGUCCAGAAUUUUCCAUGUUACCACGUUCAGUAUUGCUUUUGUAGUCUUUCUCGCCUUGAGCUUUCUUCAAUCGAAGUAUGAUUUGCUUAAUGAAGUUUUGUUUUCCUCCUUUUUUUAUGCUGUCUCCUGCCCGUUAAUAAGGUGCAAAUCUUGCAAUGCUUACUCAUUUUAUAGUUCUUAAGAGGAAAACCGUGCAAAGGCAGGCAGGUGCCAAAUUCUUUGUAUAAGUGCAAUUAGUCAGAUGCAUCCUUCUUCAGGUAACUGAAACUAAAUGGUCUCCAAAAGCUACAUCUCUUGUUUUCUCCUUUUUUUUAUUUUUAUUUUUAGCUAUGCAAAAUGAACAUGAUCCAAUGCAAAACCCAUCACCUUAUAUAUUUAAAGCAGGGGUAUGUAUUGAUCUAUCGGAUAGAUCUAGACAUGGAUCGUCCUAUACCUAUAAAGGUACUUAACGUCCAAAGAAGAUAAGUCCAUUAUCCUUUUCUUAUUUAAUUUUGUUUAUUAAAAUGAAACAAUUUAUAUUAGGGCUAAUCAAAAGGCUCUAAUUUAGGUUUUUUAUUUUCGGAAAAUUUUUUGAUUAUUUUUUUUUAUAGAUUUUUUGGCAUGCACCUAUGUACUAAUAAUAUGAUACAUCUUCCAACUUAAAGCAACUUGCAGAUUAAGGUAUCUCGAUAUUGGACACUUUCUGCCACAAUUAAUUGUUCCUCUCUUUUUCGUUGCGUCUUAUUAUGAUGCAUAAUUAAGAGAUUUGAUACACCGCAAACGCUAUAAAUAUAUGAUUCAAAUAUGGGUCAUGCUUUUAAGACGUAGCAUAAUGUCAUAUAAUAUGUUGAGCCGGCUUACUUUAUAAAAUAAUUCUUUAACCAAUUUGUAUUUUCUUAUAAGUAAUAUAUAAAGACUGCAUUAUACACGAACCUUUUAAUAUUGUCUACUUCUUUAAAGCGAUAAUAUACAAAUAAGAAAAUUAGUUAUAAUUUUUUUAGAGAAAUAUAUUUUUAUUCUUUUACAUCGUGGGUCGUACGAACGAACUCAACCAACCAAAGUCUGACAUGUAUUGGGCAAAAAGCGAGCGGUCUACAGUUACGACACCGUCAAAAGUAGUCAAUCGGAUUCAACCCUGGAAGACCUAAUUGGACGACACGCGUUGUUCCACCUAUUGGACGCAAUAAAUCCUCCCUCGGUCGGUCGAUUGGAUACAAAAGGGCGAGGAUGACUUCGCGGGAAGCCGGGGCGAGAUAGACUGUUACAGGUAUGGAUUCAUGCCCGAAUUCUUGAAUUAGGGAUUGUGCUUCUAGAUUUGCUACAAGCAUCCGAAGAGCGCGGUGGGGAAUUCCCAUUUCCUAAUUCGCUCUCUCUCUCUCUCUCUCUCACGUGUAUGCCUUGCGUCGAUCUUCGAGGACUCCACGUGGGCUUUCGAUGCGAGACGGUCCUUUUUUGUGUACAUUAAUUCAGUCGUAGCGAGAUUUCGAUGCGUAAAACGGUGACGGUAGAUGAUCCACCUCGUUCCCAUCUUUCUCAUGAUUACCAAAAACAUUUCUCAUUCCAAUUCCAACUCGACGCUGCCUUGUGUGGUUCCGCUUUAUUCUCGCCCCAUUGUCUUUUUUUCCCCGGAUAUCGGAUGCGAAGGCAGGCAAAUUAGGGUUCUAGAGUCCCCCAAUUACUGUUUCAUUUUGAUCGUCUCAUUAAGAUUCCAAUUACUUUUUUUUUUUAUUCAACUGCUAAAAAUUUGGAUUUCCCUCCCCUCUAUUCAUGUGAGAUCUUUCUGUCGCUAUAUCUUGUUUAUUCUAUCCAUUCGUCUUUAUGCUUGGAAUCCAAUUUGUUGUACGUAAUCGAUUAGUGGUUGGGUUGAAUUGUUAUUCCUUCCUGCAUAUUCUUUAAAAUGAAGCUUUUUGUUCACGUCAUUGAGGCCCGUGGUCUUCCUGUAAUGAAUAUGAAUGGGUCAUGUGAUCCCUAUGUGAGAUUGCAGCUUGGCGGUCGUAGGGCGAAAACUAAGGUCAUCAAAAAGAACUUGAACCCUUUUUGGGAUGAAAAGUUCAGCUUCCUUGUCGGGGAACUCAGUGAAGAGCUUACUGUCUCAGUUCUCAACGAAGAUAAGUACUUUAAUAAUGAUUUCUUGGGGAAGGUGAAGGUGUCAUUGUUGAAGGUCUUGGACGCUGAAAACCUAUCCCUGGGGACGGCCUGGUACCAGCUGCAACCCAAGAAUAAGAAGUCGAAGAACAAAAAAAGGGGUAAUAUGCCGAUUAUCCUUCUCUGUUCUAUGGAUGUUAUUCUCUAGCUGGAAUUAUUUCAGUUUAGUUAGCUCCAGCUUUCCCUCUCCUGAUCAUGUCUCUCCUCCCUUUCUUGGCUUACAUAUGGAUUCUCUGGUUCCUGGUUCAGGUUCCAACAUGUGGGGCCCUGGAUAUUAGUUCUUUUUCACUCGUUUAGUUGUAUGAAUUUAGUUUCUUAAAAUGCUCAGAUGUUCUUGAUAGCUUGUAACAGUGUCAAGUCUCUAUAUCGUAGAUGAAUGAAAAGAGGCAAAUAUUAGGCGACCAAAGUUGUAAAUGAUAUAUAGUGAAAAUGGAUCAUGAAAUGGUUUUUGUGAAUUCCAGAUACAAAUGUUCUUUCUUUACUGAAUACCUAUAACUGUACUAGUUGUUAUUGCACAUGUUUAGUCAAACAUAUGCAUUUAUUAAUCAAGUAACUAUUAUCUGUUUAUCUUGCAUUUAAAAUGAAACAAUUGUAGAUCAACAAUUAAAAAAUGAUCUCCAUUUACAGUUUCAAUCGGUAAAUUAGAUUUAGUUUUAGCAAGUUCAGCAGCACAUGCUCCAGCUUUGGUUGUUUUGUUAGAAGAAAAAUAAUAGAACAGGGGAAGGAUAACCCGACACAUGCAGAUGUUAGUGUCUGGUAGUUCUCUAAUCUUCAUUGUAUUGAUAAGAUUAAGUGUAUAAAUGGUGUCAUUUAAGCUUUCCUGGCUCAUCUCAAAACAUAAUGAUUUUCACUCGAUGUCCUUACGAUCAGAUAGAAAUUUGUACCAUGACGUAGUUCUUUUAGCACAGGCAUAUGCAAUAUUUAAUGGUACUAAAUAUUUAAUUUGUCCCACUUGUAGGGGAAAUUUGUCUCACCAUACAAUUGUCCCCUAGAAAUACUAUCUUGGAUGAAUCUUCUAUUGUCUCACAAGCACCUUCUGGUGAUCUUGCAUCAAGUUCAGAGACCUCCCAACUGAUGAGGGAAGCGCCUUUGUGUACUUCUGGUGGCAAAAUUGAUUCAUCUUCUUUGAUGGAUCUUGAAGAAACUAGAGCUACCAAGGAAAAUAAGUCAAACACAACAUCUUUUGUUGAGCUAUUGUCUCAGAUGUUCCGUGGGAAGAAUGCAGAAUCUGUUCCUUUAGCUGAAAAUAGGGACCUUGAUUCCUUAGAACAGUCAGAAGGGACAUCUACGAAAGCGGAUGUAUGUGCUGACUCAGCUGACAAUGUACCAUGUGAGAACAAAUUCGAGGAACUACUGGAAACUAUGGCCUCAAAAUGUCUCGGGUCUGAUAUGCCUGGGCAUCUACCUGGUGGAAUAUUACUUGAUCAAUCUUACGCUAUUGCACCAGGUGAUCUGAACUCCCUUCUUUUUUCACCAGAUUCAAAUGUUAGGAAAUCUUUUGCAGNNNNNNNNNNNNNNNNNNNNAUCUGUUUUUUCAUUUGCCUUGUGCAUAAGAUUUUCUCAGCUGCUAUGAGCAAACUAUCUUAUCGUAUGAUGCAGGGACACCAGGUCGAAGGGUCCAGCUUCCAUACUCUGAUCUCUCAUUGCCCUGCACUAAAUAUCAGCCAUUUCAACAUGCGCAAACUAAAUUGGGAGCUCGGCGACUACGUUCUGGCGCACUGAUAUGUGCUGCAGCCUUGGUGUGUUACUUAUAACCGUCAUGAAAUUAUACUUGUGCAUGAUAAGGUUUCAUAAAUUAAUGCCGUUAGUAUGUGAUUAUUGGCUCUAAGGC